rnacentral:lncRNA from 13 species
GUUUGGUAGGUCAGACAGACUGUAGUUCUGGAGACAUUUGGUAGAUCAGACAGACUGUAGUUCUGGAGAGGUUUGGUAGGUUAGAGACUGUAGUUCUGGAGAGGUCUGGUAGAUCAGACAGACUGUAGUUCUAGAGGUUUGGUAGGUUAGAGACUGUAGUUCUGGAGAGGUUUGGUAGGUCAGACAGACUGUAGUUCUAGAGAGGUUUGGUUGGGCAGAGACUGUAGUUCUAGAGGUUUGGUAGGUUAUACAUACUGUAGUUCUGGAGAGGUUUGGUAGGUCAGAGACUGUAGUUCUGGAUACGUUUGGUAGGGCAGAGACUGUAGUUCUAGAGGUUUGGUAGGUCAGACAGACUAUAGUUCUGUAGAGGUUUAGUAGGUCAGACAUACUGUAGUUUUAGAGAGAUUUGGUAGGUCAGAGACUGUAGUUCUGGAGACGUUUGGUAGGGCAGAGGUUUGCAAUAGGCUUAAAACAAAAAUAUCAAGAAUAACUUUGUGUCUGUGGAUUUGAACAUGCAAACUUUAGCACCAGAGGCAGAUGCAUGCACCCAUCUGUCAUCCCCGUCCACAACACCAUAGCGAAACCGAAACUUAAUUUUAGGUAAGAGCGCUCACUGCUGCCCCUAGUGGCCAGUUUCCAUGUAAUCUCCCGACGUCCUUAGACAUGGAUGGAUGUUGAAUACUGACUUGUAUGACGGGUGACCUGGCUGGUAUACAUAAACUCAGCAAAAAAAGAAACAAAGAUAAUUGGUAAAAAUCCAAAUAACUUCACAUAUCUUCAUUGUAAAGGGUUUUAACACUGUUUCCCAUGCUUGUUCAAUGAAUCAUAAACAACUAAUAAACAUGCACCUGUGGAACGGUCGUUAAGACACUAACAGCUUACAGACGGUAGGCAAUUAAAGUCACAGUUAG